rnacentral:tRNA from 1 species
GGUUUUAUGGUGUAACGGUUAGCACUCCAGACUCUGAAUCUGGCGAUCUGGGUUCAAAUCACGGUAAAACCU